AUCCAGCUGAUGAGUCCCAAGUAGGACGAAACGCGCGUCCUGGAU
rfam:Schistosoma rodhaini strain Burundi genome assembly, scaffold: SROB_scaffold0003146